rnacentral:tRNA from 1 species
GGGGCCGUAGUCGAGCCUGGUAAGAUGCGCGGCUUGGGCCCGCGAGAUCCCGGGUUCAAAUCCCGGCGGCCCCACCA